rnacentral:rRNA from 1 species
GACGGGGGGGCAAGUGUUCUUCGGAAUGACUGGGCGUAAAGGGCACGUAGGCGGUGAAUCGGGUUGAAAGUGAAAGUCGCCAAAAGUGGCGGAAUGCUCUCGAAACCAAUUCACUUGAGUGAGACAGAGGAGAGUGGAAUUCCUGGUGUAGCGGUGAAAUGCGCAGAUAUCAGGAAGAACACCCGUGGCGAAGGCGGCUCUCUGGAACGCAACUGACGCUGAGACGCGAAAGCGUGGGGAGCAAACAGG